rnacentral:lncRNA from 1 species
AAGCCUCACCAGGAUUUUAUACUCAGUUUAAGUCCCUGGAAGAACUACUGAAAACCCAGCCUUUUACCCCAGCACACUGCUGCCCUGUAGAAACCUGCAUUUUAUUACCCAGGACAAAGGGAAGAACGCUUCUGUCGUAGCUUGUAAACUCUGUAUCUCCUGAACCGUUGGGAGCUGUGGUUCUCAGCCUUUCUAAUGCUGCACCCCUUCAAUACAGUUUCUCACGUUGUGGUGACGCCAACCAUGAAUUAAUUUCUGCUGCUACUUUGUAACUGUAAUUUUGCUACUAUUAUGAGUCAUAAUAUAAAUCUGAGAUGCAUGAGAUCUGCUAUGUGACCCUGUGAAAGGGUU